GCAGCGACUACCAUGCAGUCGUACAUGGUAGCCGUAAGUCAUUCGGUGGAGCGGAGUGAUGCCGUAGGUGACCUGACUAUUGCCGGGGAAUAACCCUUAGAGUUUCGUGCUACUACCGCAUACGCUGAGUGAAUUUGGAAGUACCUUUGGAAAGAAUGCCUCUCCUUGUAAGCAUUUACGCUAGAUGGGGCUGCGUAGGAUUAUCUUGAUGGUGGGGUAACGCCCUACCAUGGCGACAAUGCUUAUCUGGGCUGAGAGGAUGAUAACUCACACUGGAACUGAGACACGGUCCAGACUCCUACGGGAGGCAGCAGUGGGGAAUAUUGCGCAAUGGGCGAAAGCCUGACGCAGCCCUGCCGCGUGGGUGAAGAAGGGCUUCCGGUUGGAAAGCUCUGUCCUAUGGAAAGAAUGGUUGUUGCUCUAACAGGGCAACAAUUUGACGGUACCAUAAAAGGAAGCACCGGCUAACUUCGUGCCAGCAGCCGCGGUAAUACGAAGGGUGCAGACGUUGUUCGGAUUUAUUGGGCGUAAAGCGCGCGCAGGCGGAUUAGUAAGCCAGAUGUGAAAUCUCGGGGGCUCAACCCUCAGACUGCGUCUGGAACUGGUAAUCUAGAAUCUUGGAGGAGGGAAGCGGAACUUUCGCAUGUAGGGGUAAAAUCCGUAGAGAUGCUGAGGAACACCAGAUGCGAAGGGCGCUUCCUGGCCAAGUAUCUGACGCUGAGGAUGCGAAAGCGUGGGGAGCAAACAGGAUUAGAUACCCCUGGGUAGUCCACGCCGUAAACGAUGUGCACUAUGUAUUGUGAGACUCUUGACCUCUUCAGUGUCGUAGCUAACGCAUUAAGUACACCGCCUGGGGAGUACGGUCGCAAGAUUAAAACUCAAAGGAAUUGACGGGGGCCCGCACAAGCGGUGGAGCAUGUGGUUUAAUUCGAAGCAACGCGAAGAACCUUACCUAGUCUUGAAAUCCAGAGAAGAUAGCCCAAAAUUGAUUGUGCUUUUGGGAGAUCUCGGUCACGGGCGGCACAUGGCUGUUGUGAGCUUGUGUCGUGAGAUGUUGGGUUAAGUCUCGCAACGAGCGCACCCCCUAUCUUUAGUUGCCAGCAUUAAGUUGGGCAUUCUAGAGAGACUGCGUGGGUUAACCAGGAGGAAGGUGGGGAGGACGUCAAGUCCUCAUGGCCCUUAUGUCUAGGGCUACCCACGUAAUACAAUGAAGCAUACAAAGGGAAGCGAUCUGGUGACAGGUAGCAAAUCUCAAAAAGAGCAUGUCAGUCCGGAUUGGAGUUUGCAAUUGGACUCCAUGAAGUUGGAAUCGUUGGUAAUGGGAGAUCAGCACGCUCCGGGGAAUACGUUCCCGGCCUUGGUACCCUCCAGAGGCCCCACAAUUAGAGUUUUCCAACCUGAAUCUGAGAGUUGAUCAUGGCUCAGGACGAUACGCGACGGCAGCUAAACCUUC
rnacentral:rRNA from 1 species